rnacentral:rRNA from 1 species
AUGGAGGACAAUGGUGGAGGUGCAGUUGCCGCGGGUUCAAGUGGAACAGCAGCCGGUAGUUCGUCGGCCGGUACUCGUUCUUGCUUGACAGAAGAUGAAUACCAAAAGCUGGUCAACGCAGUACGCCCAUGGUUUCGUAGUGUGGUGAGGAUUAUCCGGACAAGGGGGACUAAGAAAAAGAAGGAAGCUAUAUACACUAGCAAUGCUCUCGUGGUGCUUUCACGUGCAGAGAGGAGUUUUUUUGUCACGUGCAACCAUAAUCUGGGUCGCAAUCCAAAAGAUGCAACAAUUAGAUUGUACAAUGGAACAAAAGACUAUCCCAUUGACAUGAUUCACUACCGAGAUUCAGAUCUUGACCUUUUAUUAUUUUCGGUCAAGAAUGUUCCCGUAUUACAAGAACUUCCCAUGUUCUGUCCCAAAUCGGAAGAACCAUCGCGUUUUGACCUGGUUGCAGUACUUGGGUUCAGCUGCCCAAAAGUACAAGUCGAUCAACCACUGGAGGACCUGGUAUUGGUGAAAGAACCAACAAUCCUUCCAGGAGAAAUAGUAGAUGAACCAUUUCAUGAGACGAAGUACAAGCUGAACCUUAUAAAUAGUUGUAGCACCACAGCAGGUAUAUCAGGUUCCCCAUUGUUUAAUGAAAUGGGUAAGGUCGUUGGCAUACACCUAGCUACUGACAAAACUAUGAGGGAGGCUGCCUCUGCUGAUACACUGCUGGUACGGCUGAAAAGAUGGCUUAGAGAUGGAGAAGAUAGCAAUACCAUUGAGCAGUUGGUUGAAAAGGUCUAUGAGAAGUUCAGCCAUGGUGGCAAAAGCAAACGUUGA